UACGAAGGGGGCUAGCGUUGCUCGGAAUCACUGGGCGUAAAGGGCGCGUAGGCGGACUUUUAAGUCGGGGGUGAAAGCCCAGGGCUCAACCCUGGAAUUGCCUUCGAUACUGAGAGUCUUGAGUUCGGAAGAGGUUGGUGGAACUGCGAGUGUAGAGGUGAAAUUCGUAGAUAUUCGCAAGAACACCAGUGGCGAAGGCGGCCAACUGAUCCGAUACUGACGCUGAGGCGCGAAAGCGUGGGGAGCAAACAGG
rnacentral:rRNA from 1 species